AGCGAACGCUGGCGGCAGGCUUAACACAUGCAAGUCGAGCGGACCUUUCGGGGUCAGCGGCGGACGGGUGAGUAACGCGUGGGAACGUGCCUUCCGGUUCGGAAUAACCCUGGGAAACUAGGGCUAAUACCGGAUACGCCCUUAUGGGGAAAGGUUUACUGCCGGAAGAUCGGCCCGCGUCUGAUUAGCUAGUUGGUGGGGUAACGGCCUACCAAGGCGACGAUCAGUAGCUGGUCUGAGAGGAUGAUCAGCCACACUGGGACUGAGACACGGCCCAGACUCCUGCGGGAGGCAGCAGUGGGGAAUAUUGGACAAUGGGCGCAAGCCUGAUCCAGCCAUGCCGCGUGAGUGAUGAAGGCCUUAGGGUUGUAAAGCUCUUUUAUCCGGGACGAUAAUGACGGUACCGGAGGAAUAAGCCCCGGCUAACUUCGUG
rnacentral:rRNA from 1 species